ensembl:lncRNA
AAUUUUUCUACACCAGAUCGUGUUUACUCGUCUGGUUGUUUGACUACAUUUAAUUCUGAGAAAUAAAAUGAAAUAUUUAUCUGACUAUGAGAAGUUAGAUAUAUUAAGGGGCUCUUUUCUCGAGUGAGAGCACAUUUUUCCCUUUCUUCCUCUGAGGAGGUUGAGGUGGUCAGCAAGGGUUGCUGAGCAGUCCCAACCCUGCCGUGUUCCAGCCCCUUGUGCUGGGGGGUCACUUCUUGUACUCCGCAGAGUCUAGAGUCAGAGUGGCGCUCCCAGGCCGAAGGCUUCUAGCGGAAGGCAGUUCUGUGGACCGUCAUUCUCGCUGGAUAGUCUUCGUCAUAACAUUCUGAUGCCUAAGGCCCAGGACUUUUUGAGGGCCAGCUCCCUCUGGGGAAGAGCGGUGUACACCACAUUACACUGUGCCCGUCUCUCCUCAUUGCCCUCAGGAGAUCAGUCUCCUAACCCUGCCGGUGUUCCAGGGUGCAGCGGUCUCCGGUGGGCGCUUCUCUCAGUUACCGCCCGGAAACAUAGCAGUGCUAAGAGGCUUGUGACCUCCACGGAGGUUUCCAGAGCAGCUAGUUCGGGCAUCUCCUGCCGGUGCGCCGCUUCAGGGCACCGAGCUAACUGCUCUCAUGACACCAGAGAUCAGUCUCAAGAGGCUGAUUCCCUUAGUAGACUAUUUGACAGCGUGAAAACUACUGCCAAAUGUGUCUCAGAGAUCCUGCACACUGUAGUGAGAGGCCACAGAAUCCAGUUCGGUUCUCCUGUGACUCAAUUCAAUGGGGACUUUCUCACCCUGGUGGGCCCUGAGCAGGCUCUGGUAAUGGAACAGAAGUUGACACUCUCUAUGAAUGGAGAGGUCGUCAAGGUGGUUCCUCCUCACGUUACAGAAUCCGGUUCCUACAGCCGGUACUUCACCAUUCCGAGGAAGGAUGAGGGGUUGUGUCCUAUUUUAGAUCUGCAUCUUUUGAACCGCUCAGUCAGGGGACUGAAGUUCAGCAUGCUCGCACCCAAACAGGUUUCGUCUCAGACCAAGUCCGAGGACUGGUGUGUCACGAUCUAUCUAAAAG